rnacentral:lncRNA from 1 species
UGGGACAGUAAAGUCAAGGAAUUGGAGAGGGUUGUUGUCCUUGAGAUUGAUUUCAGGGAGGUCACUACCCCCAAAGCAACAAAGAAAUCCCAGCGCAUGACGAUUCCUCUUCCUGGGGGCCAUGAUCAUCAUGUAUGAUGCUAUCUUCUGAUCAUGUUCAAUUUCAUCCAGCCGUAUAUUUUCCUACUCGCUUUUUACAGCGGCUGAGCUCAGUGCUCAGGAACGUCCAUCCCGCGGCAGAGCAGAGCGCAGCGCCGCUCUCUCUCCCCCUCGCUGAAUACUGCCGAGUGAGCGGGGCUGGGGCUGUGCGAGCGCUUCUCCGACC